rnacentral:rRNA from 1 species
UACAGAGGUCUCAAGCGUUGUUCGGAUUCAUUGGGCGUAAAGGGUGCGUAGGCGGCGCGGUAAGUCGGAUGUGAAAUCUCGGAGCUUAACUCCGAAACUGCAUUCGAUACUGCCGUGCUUGAGGACUGGAGAGGAGACUGGAAUUUACGGUGUAGCGGUGAAAUGCGUAGAUAUCGUAAGGAAGACCAGUGGCGAAGGCGGGUCUCUGGACAGUUCCUGACGCUGAGGCACGAAAGGCCAGGGGGAGCAAACGGGG